rnacentral:rRNA from 1 species
CGCGUGAGGGAGAAGGCCUCUGGGCUGUAAACCUCUUUUCUCAAGGAAGAAGAUCUGACGGUACUUGAGGAAUAAGCCACGGCUAAUUCCGUGCCAGCAGCCGCGGUAAUACGGGAGUGGCAAGCGUUAUCCGGAAUUAUUGGGCGUAAAGCGUCCGCAGGNGGCCUUGNAAGUCUGCCGUUAAAGCGUGGAGCUUAACUCCAUUUNAGCGGUGGAAACUACNANGCUAGAGUGUGGUAGGGGCAGAGGGAAUUCCCGGUGUAGCGGUGAAAUGCGUAGAUAUCGGGAAGAACACCAGUGGCGAAGGCGCUCUGCUGGGCCAUAACUGACNCUCAUGGACGAAAGCCAGGGGAGCGAAAGGGAUU